rnacentral:rRNA from 1 species
AGUGAACGCUGGCGGUAGGCCUAACACAUGCAAGUCGAACGGCAGCACAGUAAGAGCUUGCUCUUACGGGUGGCGAGUGGCGGACGGGUGAGGAAUACAUCGGAAUCUACUUUUUCGUGGGGGCUAACGUAGGGAAACUUACGCUAAUACCGCAUACGACCUACGGGUGAAAGCAGGGGAUCUUCGGACCUUGCGCGAUUGAAUGAGCCGAUGUCGGAUUAGCUAGUUGGCGGGGUAAAGGCCCACCAAGGCGACGAUCCGUAGCUGGUCUGAGAGGAUGAUCAGCCACACGGGAACUGAGACACGGUCCCGACUCCUACGGGAGGCAGCAGCGGGGAAUAUUGGACAAUGGGCGCAAGCCUGAUCCAGCCAUACCGCGUGGGUGAAGAAGGCCUUCGGGUUGUAAAGCCCUUUUGUUGGGAAAGAAAAGCAGCAGGUUAAUACCCCGCUGUUCUGACGGUACCCAAAGAAUAAGCACCGGCUAACUUCGUG